GACGAGGACGGUCAGGCGAGGCGAGCAGUUGUGUCGCCGUGCAAUCGCACGUGCGACGCACCCGCUUCUGAAACUCCUUCAAGUACUCCUCGUAGC
rnacentral:misc_RNA from 1 species